rnacentral:rRNA from 1 species
UACGGAGGAUCCAAGCGUUAUCCGGAUUUAUUGGGUUUAAAGGGUGCGCAGGCGGGAGAUUAAGUCGGUGGUGAAAUUUUGCAGCUCAACUGUAAAAGUGCCAUUGAUACUGGUUUUCUUGAGUGUGGAUGAAGUAGGCGGAAUUUGUGGUGUAGCGGUGAAAUGCAUAGAUAUCACGAGGAACUCCGAUUGCGCAGGCAGCUUACUAGGCCAUAACUGACGCUCAGGCACGAAGGCGUGGGGAUCAAACAGGAUUAGA